rnacentral:antisense_RNA from 1 species
GGCGUGCGCCGCCUCUGCAGUAAAUAAGAUGAGGAAAGCGAGGCACCGCGGGGCCAAGUCACUUGCUCAGGGGCACGCAGCAGGGGUUCUGCCUGAGAAGCCGUAAGCUCACGUCCCUAAAGCUCCGCAGCAGGGGCUUUGGAUCCUUGUGAAUUUCAGCUCCUCCAAGGCUUGAGGAAAGAAUUCAAGAAAGGUCCAGCGGAGCCUCCUGGAAGCGCAGAGCAGUGCUCCAGCAGGAGGACCCUCAGAGCCCUCGGCAACAAGGAUGAGACUGGAACAAUGGAGACAGGAGGGAGUUCUAGGGGCCGAUUUAAGUCAACUGGAAGCUGGAUGUUGGUGGGCGUUUUCGCUUUUUUUUUUUUUUUUAAUGCUAGAGCACAGUGGCUAAAAAAGGUGGGCUCUGGGGCCAGCCUGCCUGGGUUCCAAUGCACUUGCUGGCUGUGUUCCCUUGUGCAAGUUACUUAACCUCUCUGUGUUUCAGCUUCCAUAACUAUAAGAAAAGGAAUAUUAGCACGUUUUCCCAACAGAGCCCAUGGGGGGUUCAAUGAGAUAUGGAAGCACCCCCACACUGUCAGGCACAGGCAAAUGCUCAAUAAAUGUUCAUUUUUA